AAUUUUCUGCCACCGAAUACAUUAGCAUGGGAUAAUGGAAUAGGACCCUGUCCUCCUAUUUUCAGUUGGUUUUGGCAGCGCGAGGACUAGGGUAAUGAUUAAUAGGGAUAGUUGGGGGCAUUAAUAUUUAAUUGUCAGAGGUGAAAUUCUUGGAUUUAUGAAAGAUUAACUUCUGCGAAAGCAUCUGCCAAGGAUGUUUUCAUUAAUCAAGAACGAAAGUUAGGGGAUCGAAGACGAUCAGAUACCGUCGUAGUCUUAACCAUAAACGAUGCCGACCAGCGAUUAGGAGACGUUGAAUACAAAACACCACCAUCGGUGCGGUCAUCCUUGGCGUU
rnacentral:rRNA from 1 species